AUGCGUCAGAUACACCAGAGUAAUAAUCUACCAUGGCUACUGGUAGGGGAUCUGAAUGAAAUCCAAUUCCUCAGUGAGAAAGAAGGGGGAAAUCCUAGGCCACCUCAAUACAUGCAAGUGUUCCAGAAUGCCAUUGACGACUGUGGCCUGAGGGAUUUGGGCUACAUUGGGGGUCGAUUUACUUGGCAGAGGGGGCGUAUACGGGAGAGACUUGAUCGAGGAUUGAUCAAUGAUGGCUAGGCAAACAUGUUUCCAGCGGCUGCACUACAUAAUAUGCACUAUAACCAUUCUGACCACCGUCCACUCUGUGUGGACACAUAA
rnacentral:rRNA from 1 species